AACUAAUUGGAAAGGAAAAUAUGUUUGUGAAGUGGAAUCCUGAAACGGCAAGCGGGAAUGCUUUCCUAGCUGACAGGAGGAACAUGAGUGUGCAUCAGUCUUAUUACAACUAAAAGAAAAAAUCUGUAAGACUUGAGUAGUAGCUGCAAGCCCGGGAUGCCCAAGCCGCUGAUGCCACAGGGACGCUGCUGAUGAACUGUGAAGAGCUUGAUGGUGUGGAAGACGAAGGGGGUAGAGAUCACCGCUGCUGUCACAUCGGAGCCUCUCCGCCCGUGUGUGAAGAUCCUUGAUUGAAAAACCAUAGGGUCAAACUCAAUAGAUACGUCAUUAUCACGAGUUAAUCGCGGAACAGAAAUUAAAUUUUUGAUAAGAGAAG
rnacentral:lncRNA from 1 species